GGAAACGCAAACGAGCUCUACCGCCUCUUGACGACUCCGAUGAGGACCACCAUGUAGAUUCUAUGGAUCUUCCUCACGUUCCUCCUAAUUUUCCUCGGAGCUCGUCUCAAUGUGAUGAAAUUGAAGGACCAGCUUUCACAGCCCGAAUGGGAAACGUUAUCAGCUCAGGAGAUAACAGAAAUGACACAACCUCAACCGUUUCCUCAGAAGCUGUGCUAUCCAGAAUGCAAGACGGUCUGGAUGGUCUCAGUAAUCUGGGUCAACCUUCAAAGAGGGCAAUUCCGGAUGC